GCGAGAGAGAGAAAAAAACACCGAUGAAAAGUUUCCUAAAACUUUUUAAAAGUUUAGAAUGAGUAGAGAAUCAUGUUUUCAUUCAACAUGUUCCUGCUGGUGUUUGUAGUUCUUCUGGGGACAGUAGUGACGGUAAACAGCGAUCAUCGUGAGGUGGAGAUGUUUUCAAAGAGCGUUGAUGUUGGUGCAGAGAUUGGUAGUCACAUGCAUUUAACGUGUAGAGUCAGUGGCUUCAACACAUCAGACAUCAUCCUGAACAUGAAGAAGAAUCACUGUGUUCUGACUGAAGAGGACAAAGUGGAGACUUCAGGAGUUAAACUACACCAAGGCACCUACUGGAGAGAAGACGAUGUCAUCAUUUUAAAGUCUGAAGUGUCUCAUUACAGCUGUGAAGUCGUUCAUGCUGCAUCUCGUUUUCGUGUUGAGAAGGUUUGGGAUCCUGACUCUGUUGGAGGACGGAUCAUUUCAUCUAAGUUCAUAGACACAAAUCAACCUCAUGUAUUGAUGUUUCCAGAGAACUCUGAAGUUCAGACCAACAUCACUGUGACGUGUCUGGUCUCAGGCUUCUACCCAAACAACAUCACUCUGAAUAUGAAGAGGAACGGCCGUAUUCUAACCAGAGAGGACGGAGUGAUGAGUUCAGGAGUUUGUUCAUAUGAAGACGGCACCUUCCAGAGGAGAGACUCUGUGGAGAUUAAAAAAUCAGAGAUGUCUAAUUACAGCUGUGAAGUCAUUCAUGAUGCAUCUGGUUCACGAGUUGAGAAGUUUUCACAUCAUCCUGAUGUGAAAAUGUUUGCAGAGAACUCUGAAGUUAAGACCAACGUCAUUGUGACGUGUCUGGUCUCAGGCUUCUACCCAAACAACAUCAUCCUGAAUAUGAAGAGGAACGGCCGUAUUCUAACCAGAGAGGACGGAGUGAAGAGUUCAGGAGUUUGUUCAUAUGAAGACGACACCUUCCAGAGAAGAGACUCUGUGGAGAUUAAAACAUCAGACACGUCUAAUUUCAGCUGUGAAGUCAUUCAUGAUGCAUCUGGUUCACAAGUUGAGAAGUUUUGGGAUCAUCAUCUUCCUCACUCUGGUGGAGUUGCUGUCAUCAUUGGUGCAGUAGUAGGAGUCCUGCUCCUGGUCCUGGUUCUAGUUGUGGUGCUGGUGGUACUGAAGAAAAAAGGCAUCCUUGGAACUGCUGCUAAUGAGGCUCCAGUAAACUACACCUCAGCUAAACCAGCUCCUUCAGCUCCUCCACCAGGUCAGUGUUUUAUUUUUCUGUUACUGAUUCAGUUAAGUUAUUUUUUCAGUGACAUGUUAUUAAUCCAGCUACAGUCCUGUAAAUGUCACCAUGUGAUGUUAGAACCAGAGUUAUCGUAAAGCUAAUUAACCCUAUUAAAACAGAUGAUCACAUUUAAAAUGAAACAGUGUUUGACUGAAGUGAUGGUUGAUGAAUUGAUUCAUCUACAUUUUAAGUUCAUUAUAUAAAGAAUAGAAAAAUCUGAUUGGAAGCAGUAAAUAAUUGAAUUUCUGUUAUGAAAUCACUACAAAACAGGAAAUAAAUGUAAAAAUAAAUAAAUAAACAUAAAGCUGUAAUAUUUCCUCUGUGUGUAGGUGGUAAUGAUGUGAACGAUCUACCCCUGGAUGGACAACCAAAGAAGAACGGUUCCAUCCCUGUCUCUGCAAAUGGCAACGCACUCACCAACGCUGAGCUGAAUGGAAAUGUCCAGCAUCACAUCAACACUCCAUCAGGUCCAUCCAGCAGUGAGCAGGAGGCUCCAGAGUAAAUCAAAACUAAAGUUUACAUAUAAGGGAACAAGCCACGUUUACAUUCAUCUGACUUCUGGGUGAAACUGCAUCGGUCUUCACGGCUCUGCCUUCCAUCAGUGACGGGUCUGAAUCUACUGGAACGACACGAAGAAAUACUUGACACGACACCAAAGAAACUGGAUUCUUGAAUACAUAACACAGUAUUUCACACAAAAGAAGGUUUUCUACGUGGUCAACACGUCAACACCAGCCCCACCCUCACCCUGACACUAGUCACCAACAGAACAUGCUGUAAACACAGCAAUAGAACUGUUACUCCAGAUAUGUGCUGCUGUACACGUCAGGAUACUUUAACUGACACCUAAAGCAGUAUUUCUCUGAUCCUUCUCUGUGUCCUGGAGCUAAAGCUCUAAUAACUUUAUCAGAGAACUGAUGUGCUGCCUCCUUCUCUCUGGUACCACGGGAGCUUUUACAAAAGCCUUACAGUAGCAGUGGUACUUUUAUUUAGUACUACUUAAAAAAAAAAAAAAAAAAAACUACAAUUAAUAAAGAAGCUGCUCAUCUUGCUUUCAUUGUGGUGCCAUAAUGAAGAUGUUUUUAUUCUUGAAAUAAUGCUCUUGUUCCAUAUUGGAAAGGACCUUCUUUAUUGGUGAAAUCUUGAAUUUCACAGCACUGUUGUUCUUUUGUUUAAAAUGUUUUUCUUAAUUUUUUGUACUGUAACUUGAUUUAUUACAGUGAAGCCAAACUGUCUCUCAGGAAAUACGAGAGAACAACAAAGAAACGUGUUUUACAUGAUGACAUGGACUGUGAAGGCAGUAGCUGGAAAUAUAUGAAAUACUUGUUCUGUCUAAAAAGAAAGAACAUUUUAUGUAAUGUUUUUAUAUGUUUAUAUUUACAUGAACACUGUAAAAUAAAUGUUCAGAGUGUUAUUAUAUCAGUGUCUUGAUAUAUUUUACAGUGUUUCUCGUGGUCCAUUUAUUUUAAAGUUUAAACUUGUGUUUCCCA